rnacentral:rRNA from 1 species
GGUGAACGGCGGCCGUAACGAUAACGGUCCUAAGGUAGCGAAAUUCCUUGUCGGGUAAGUUCCGACCCGCACGAAAGGUGUAACGACUUGGGCACUGUCUCAACGAGAGACUCGGUGAAAUCAUAGUACCUGUGAAGAUGCAGGUUACCCGCGACAGGACGGAAAGACCCCGUGGAGCUUUACUGCAGCCUGAUAUUGAAUGUUGGUGCGACAUGUACAGCAUAGGUGGGAGACUGAGAAGCCUGGACGCCAGUCUAGGUGGAGUCGCCGUUGGGAUACCACCCUUGUCGUACUGAGAUUCUAACCCGCACCCCUGAUCGGGGUGGGAGACAGUGUCAGGUGGGCAGUUUGACUGGGGCGGUCGCCUCCCAAAGCGUAACGGAGGCGCCCAAAGGUUCCCUCAGAAUGGUUGGAAAUCAUUCGAAGAGUGUAAAGGCAGAAGGGAGCUUGACUGCGAGACCUACAAGUCGAGCAGGGACGAAAGUCGGGCUUAGUGAUCCGGUGGUUCCG